AGCAGUCGCCACGGUAAUACGUAGGGUGCAAGCGUUAAUCGGAAUUACUGGGCGUAAAGCGUGCGCAGGCGGUUAUAUAAGACAGAUGUGAAAUCCCCGGGCUCAACCUGGGAACUGCAUUUGUGACUGAAUAGCUAGAGUACGGCAGAGGGGGAUGGAAUUCCGCGUGUAGCAGUGAAAUGCGUAGAUAUGCGGAGGAACACCGAUGGCGAAGGCAAUCCCCUGGGCCUGUACUGACGCUCAUGCACGAAAGCGUGGGGAGCAAACAGGAUUAGAUACCCGCGUAGUCCCUGUCUCUUAUAC
rnacentral:rRNA from 1 species